GAAAACAAGCCUGGCCAUGGUGGCAUUUCCUCGAAAAGUUGAAAACAAUUUUCCGUGGGGCAUUCCUAGUUUCAAUCAGAAUUUAGCUGCAUCCAUGCCCAAAGGUGGGUUGAUAAGGUACGGAAUAAGGAUAAGAAGGUUGACCUGGGAACAAAUCAUGAUGGGAAGUAAGGGCAUUUGAUGGGCAGUGGAAAUGCCGCCACAUGCUUUUGUUUAAUACCCACAGAUCCUACUCUGCCCAACAGAUUAUUUCUUCCUCAGGUCAUUGUUAUCAAUGUGUAGAGAGGAAACUUGU